CUGUCAGUUGGUUUGUGUUGUAUGUUUGUGUUAAGAGCAAUAGCAAUAAUAAUUAUAAUAACAACAACAAUAAUAAUAAUAAUUAUUAUAAUAACAACAACAGUAAUAAUAAUAACAUUAAUAAUAACAACAACAAUAAUAAUAAUAACAUUAAUAAUAACAACAACAGCACAGCAGAAAUAAUAAUAACAAGCAAUAAUAAAAGGAACAAUAAUAGUAAUAAUAACAGAAAUAAUAAAAACAACAAAAACAAUAACAACCAACUAACAACCAAAGACAAUAUUCACGACAACAACAAGAACAGUUUUGUGUUGCACUUACACGCAUUGGUGGCAACUACUUAACAGCAUUUCGAGCUCUCGCCACUGACGGCACUGGCUUUACUGGCGGCUGCUGCUGUUGCUGAUGGCUGACGUCCAAUGGCGGCAACUUGUUAUUUGUACAGCCCAUUGCUUCGACGAGUGCAUCGAUAGUAAUUGAAUGUUGUGACGCUCAGUGCUCUCUAUCGAGUCGCAGUCGUUUGGUUGGCGACAAUUGCCGGCAAAUGCCAAGAUGAUGACGGCGCUUCAGUUGUUGCAGCUGGCGUUAUGUGAACAGAAACUAUGGACGAAAUAAUGAUUCCUCAUCAACAAGCAAGUAACAUAAGGAAGUGUUUGUACGAGGGAAAUAGUUGUAUUUAUAAAACAAAAACAAAAAUAAGCAAAAACGCUAACUUCGGCUACACCAAUAGCGGUGCGAUCUGAACAAUAUGUUCGGAGAUUGAAGUGCGUUACGCAGGUCAAAUAAAAAAGUUUUCCAUACAAAGACUUGAUUUUGAUCGCUAAAAUUGUAUGGCAUCUACAUACAUACAUAUAUGCCAUAUAGGUCCGAUCUGAGCAAUUUAGAAUCGAAGAUUGUACCCUUGCCGUGGGAAAUAAUUCGUGCCAAGUUUUAUGAAGACAUCUCGUCAAAUAAAAAAGUUUUCCAUAGAAGAACAUGAUUUUAAUUGCACAAAAAACUGUUUGGAACCAUUUAAACCACAUAAAAAGAAGCUUGAUAAAGGGUGCUACACGAGUUAAUGCAACGAAGACUCAUGGAUCGAAUUUUCAUUUGUGAAUCGAUCCAUUCUUAAGCAUAACCAAUUGGUGAUAAAAAGUGGCACCUACGACAACGUCUAGCGAAACCUGAAAAAACCGAUCGUACGCAAUGGCGCAGCUACGAAUGACGGUCAAGAAGAUUUUGUUAUGUGUUUGGUGGGAUUGGAAAGGAAUCAUCUUAUAUGAACUUGUAUCCUAUGGUCAAGCUUUUAAUUUGGACCUAUACUAUGAGCAAUUGGACCGUCUGAAGAAAGCGAUCGUCAAGAAGCGGUAAGCUUUGGCCGUUAAUAGAGGAAUUGUUUUCCAUAAGGGCAAUUACCGUUGAAAGCCAAAAAUCUUUAAAAGCCUGUUUUCGAGUUGUACUCGUACUUAAGACUAAACCAGUUAGGUUAGCUACAAAUUUAUAUCAUUAAAAUAUCGUUGCGUUAGAUUAAACAAAUCGGAAAUUAAUGCGCCAAUAUGUAAGUGUGUAAUGAAUUCGGUAUGAUAAAUAUUUAUCGAUUAUUUUCAUUCGAUAAUUAUUCCCAAUUUAAAAUUAUCGAUUAAUGAACGUAUUAUAUACUUAAUCGAUUUUUUUAUUCGAUAACUGAUUCAUAUUGAAAAUUAUCGCUUAUUUCAAACCAAUACUUACAGACUCAUCCGCCUUCAAAAUUAUCGAUUAUUGAGUGUUUUCUUUACAUUUUAGAAGUUAAAUUCAAGUAUACCCGCAAAUUUAUACUUCGGUAACAACAGGGUCUUUUAAAAGGGCAAUUGAGAGCAAAUUAACUUUGUAAUCGAUAAAAUAUUGAUUGCAGAGAACAUUGUGUUUAUUAUUUUAAUUAUUUAUAGUAGAAUGCAAAAAAAAUUAAAUAUUAAAAACAUUUUUUUUUAUUUUUAAAAAAUAUUUAUAAUAAUUUUUGAAUUUAAAAAUAUUAUUUUUCUUUUUUGAAAAUUUAAUUUCAGAAUACAUGCUUAUGUGUAUGUAUAUAUGUAGCUAAGUACCAUCGGAUAUUCAUAAGUUCUAACUCUAUAAAUUUACCAUAUAUUACUUCCGCAAAGAUUUGAAAUAAAACAAGAUUUUAAUAGAACUUUUUAAAUCCCUAAUAUAUGUACCUUUAAUGUAUAUGUACAUAUAUGUGCGCAACUAUAUAAAAGCAAAAAACUUCAUAAAAAAAAUUACUCUGCAUUUCAAAUGAUUUCAGGAAUUUUUCAUAUAAAAUUUAUUUACUAAUUUUUCUCGCAAUCUAAGGGAAGUGUAUUAAAACUAACGCUACGGAAAAUCAAAACGUAAUGAAAACAGAAUUGAAUAAACUUUAGCCCACCGCCAACCAAGGCCAACCUGCUCGCGGCGGUGUCAGCUACAGUGUACUCGUAUCAGCAUUGUCUGAAUCGCCUUCACCUGUGCUGCGCCGUUAUUUGUGCGCGCCAAGCAAAUAUUCUGACAGCAAAAAAUGGAAACAAGAAAUGAAGCAAGAAUGAAAAUAAUUGCAGCCCGAGCGCACCAGCGCCACCAACAGCAGCAACUAAAUAGUAAAAUACUUAUAGAUAUAUACAUAUGUGUGGAAAUAGAUACAAACGCGGUAACAACAAUUGUUGGCGUCGCCAAUGCUUUAGUCACUGUUACUGUAGCGACUGGUUGGUGUUCGUGUCGCUACCAAAACGUUUCGUGUGCACAACACUACUACUCUACUAGUUAGCAGAGACUAGGCAAAGGCUGUGGACGACGACAACUGUGAGCGUGCGUCGUUUUCUCGUUUGCUGCUAAAAAUACACAUUUCAAGUGUAGUACCUAUCUAAGAGCAGUAGAUAAUACACCUAGGAAAGAGGUACUGGCGUGCGGGCCACGAGGUACAUGUGUUGAAGAAUUUCUGCCAGAGCUACGAUCGGCAUUUUUACGCAAUUCAUUAAUUGCGGCGAUGGCAAAUCUUGAGAGGUCUUAAAAUUUCGAACAUCCAUUCCACAUGAUACAAAACGAAGUCUUCUAAGCGGUGCAUGCAGCAUCUUCUAUAACAGUUGAUAUACAAAUAGUUAUAAUGAUGGAUUGGUUUAAACAUCAGCGACGUUAGUUGUUUUCCCCAGGUCAGAUGAAAAAAACAAGUACAUCGUAUGGUCGGGGACAAAUAGUUUCCCCGAAUUUUGUCGUUUCACUUUUAAACGUCAGAUCUAGCAUCAACGAAGUUACGUUCAAUGAGAAGAGGCUAAAGGACUGCCCCAGAAAAGACAAUGGAAUUUCAUUCAUGACUUGCCGGCACAAAAUUGCAUGAGACACCAAGUGAACAACAGCACAAACAAAGACAACAGCAACAACAACAACAAUAGCAUCAACCAAAACCUCCCAGACGCACGAUAAGCAACUUGUGGAAGUGACGCAACGCAUAAAUAAAUAGAAAAUCGUUCGGAAUUCGUGCAAAUGCAAACAGCCGUUGGCAAUGCAACAACAACAAUCACUUAACUUAAAAACGGUAACAUUGAAAAGUUGCACUGUCGCUACGACGAAUGGUUGGCUGAGCAGCGCCGAAAAUCGGGGAAUCACCCUUAUCAGCACACGAGCGACGGCAUUUCCAAACAGCGUCUGCAACAGCAGCAACUAAUCGUGCCAGAGCAACUUGCGAUUCAACACGCAACUUAACAAAAACUUUUAUAUAUUACCGCUGCGGCUAUGUACCUUCGUACCGACAAUGAUUAUAAUUUGGCGACCGUGAACGAUUACGUCGCUCAUAAAUUGCUUGCGCUGCGAAUUGCUCUCUCUUUUGUUACUCAAUAGCGCCAACCAAAAACAUAGAAGUACAAAACACCUGCAUACUGCAAAUUUCUCUAUUAACCCGAUAUUAAUAAGCUUCUAAUGACACUCUCUUGUGUUUCGUCUAUGCAAUUUGUUGUUUUUCUUUUCAACCAGUUAACCAAUCAACAAGUCGUUCGAUUUGAAAAUGAAUGCAAAUUCAUUUCGAGUGUGAUCUCGUGUUAUCUAACUUGUCAACAAAGCGAUAUCCAAAAAAACAAUGUUUCGUCAUAACGGUUCAUUAACCUAUAAGAUAUCUUACAGUUCAUCGAGUAGAAAACUCCUGCAAUCCAGCUUAUAUCUAUCGAAUUGAGAAGGUAUACUAAAUACCGAUUCAAUUGCGUUUAAAUACAUUUUAUGAGCUCACGGAGGGGUUAAAUGACCUGUAUUCCCCUCAAUUUCGGAUAUCACUAACUAGACCAAAUAGAAUAUAUACUGAGUCAGCCUGACUAAGAGUAUGAAUAGAUUUUUUUAUUUUUCUUAAAAUUUGGAAAGAUUAACAUUUGUUUAAAGCCUUUUCUCAAACUUGAAUUCUUUAGCCUGGAGACGUUGUUUUGCAUCGAUUUAUAGCUCAUACUUUACCAGGUUUAGUGUUAAACAAAAUUGAAAAAAUAUAGACAGAUAUUUAAAAAAUAUAUACAUAUGCUUUAUAACAGUAGCCUCACUAGCGAAACAUUCGUAUUUACUGAGGGAUUUUGAGAUUUUUCUCCGUCUUUGUGGAAACUUAACAAAGUUAUGUAAGCUUUAUUUUCUAAGAAGGUCAGUUGGCAUAAAGGGUGUGGCUUACAAAGAUCUCAAGAUAGUCCAAGAAAGUUACUGGCUAUCACAAUACAGAUUAAGCCAAUAUAAAAAAAGCUAAUAUAAUAUAAAUAAAAUCAAACGGUGUGAUACCUUCCCGAAAAAAAAACUUGUCGAUCUGAGAGAGAAUCUGCUCUAUUAGGGAAGUGAUGAGGUGUUACACGGGUUUCCUCGAGCAAAAAACGACACAUUAUUUUAUUUAAACCUUUUAUUAUUCCAAAGAUGCAUAUUUUACAUAUAUUUUGUGAAAUUUUCAAAGGAAAAUAUUCAAAACGCGACCAUUACAACGUCAUUUCCGGUAGACCCUUGGGAAAAAGGUGUAUCCGCAUUGACAGCAGCAGUUAAUCUUAAAAACAAAAAGUGAAAAUUGUACUUUUUUCUAACGUUUUUACAAAAAGUUCAAACAUAUCUCGAUGUUUUUUAUUUAAUAGUUGUAAUUGAAAAAAUAAAAUACUUCGUUUAGGACCUUGUAAGUUAUAUCUCGAAGACCUAUGCAAAAUUUCAUUAAGAUCGGUUAAGUAGUCGCGAGAAAACUUGACAACCGACUUUAAAAACAAAGUAUCGAGCAAAUCGUGUUAAAAGUUUUAAGUGACUAUAUCGCUGACUUCGAGCGCGCAAUUUUCAAGGCUGUAUCUCCAAAACUAUUACUCGGAUGAACUUAAGCACUUGGGACAAUUUUCUAGAGAUAUUAUAAAAUUAAAAAAUAUUAUAUAACAAAAAACUCGAUUUUUUGAAGCCGUGAAACCCAUGUAACCUCUUAUCUAGUCGGGAAAAGAUAAUACCUAUAUGAUAGAAGUAACCAUCAAACCGAAAACGCUCAAAAUGAUUUCACUUCUGCUCGUAUAAAUUUACCAGCAAAAUCAAAACACAGGGAAAGUAUUCAUUAUCAAAUCAUUCGAAGCACCGAGGCUUCUCCUCGAAGUAACUUUCUCCACAAGAUACAACAGAGCGGUUGGGUGAAUUGAAUUUCACCGCUUUUGUAACUCUACCUCCAUGCAUAUCUAUCGCUCGCAGAAAUCAUACAAGGUGCCGAUUUUAUUUUAUUUAUUAUAUUUGAUACAUAUUUUUGUAAAAUAAAAAAAAGAACCUAAAUAGAAAUCAUAACAAAUCAUUUCAACAUUGCGUUUCUUGUUUCUAUAACAUCUAAUGAUUUUUCGAUAUAGAUGCCAGUGUUAAUUAGUAGACAUCAAUCAUCAUCAUCCAAAUAAAAAUUAUUUGGUGUUUUGGGCCGAAACUCUAAUGGAUUGUUUUCAUAAUAUUGAUCCUUCACUGCUCAUUGAUGUUGCCAAUAAAGCUGAUAACCUUAGUCUGAAACCGAGUACCAUUCGUUGCAUGCGUUCUAUUACUGCAAAAAUUGUUGGUCUCUAUGAAUCCGACUUUAUUCAAGAAAAGACCGUCAAAGAAUGUAUUGGACUCCUGAAGAUUACGUGUAGUUUUUUGAAUUUACACAUGUCUAUCCAUUCUUUUCAAUAAGCGCACUAUUUGGGUUAGUAACAUUGGCGUUAGGCAUAUGCUUCCAGUGUUUCCCAACAAUAUUAAUUUAAUUAACCACGACAAAUGAAUCUGUCAAGGUUGAUAGGUAGGUAGCGAGGCUGUCUAACAACACACCUAGCCCUUUAGGAGGCUCACUGUUAUACCACCGGGACUAAAAUCUCCUCACUCUAUUGUCACCACUCUGAACCACUCCGAGCUUCUAAUGAAGUAAAUCGGUACAAAAAGUUAUUUCUGUUAAAUAUCGACAAAUAGCCAGAAGCAUAUAAAUUCCCUCGUUUUCGAAGUCUAAUUGUAGUUCAUCUGCUUCACAGUUACCAGAGACACUGCUAUGACCUGGAACCCUUUGCAGGUUCAUCGUGAAAUAGGAUGUUAGAUCCAAUAAGAGAUCAAAGCACUAUUUCGCUAUCUUUGAUGAAACCUUAAGAGAUUUUAGUGAUUUCAAAGCCGCUGAUAGCCAUGUCAAGGUUACUAUAAACAUUUAAUUUCUCUGACUUCACUUCCAGCACCUUGUGAACUUUCCGAACCGUGCAAUAAUAGCUUUAGAGGCUUGAAUAUUAAUAAAACUAGUAAUUUCAAUGCAAAGCAAUGACAAUCGCGAUUGUGGGAAGCAAGAAAACUUAAAGCACUUAUCUUUGGCGACAAACUGAGUGUUUUUUGACAGAAACUAGUUUUUCACACAGCAUUCAUCAGUCAUUCGGGGUUAGUAUAUAACUUGUGAUUACAAAUUACACGCAAAAUUGAGGUCUUACCACACUUAUACCGGUCUUGAAUGAGUGUCAGAUUUUUUUAGAAGUAUAUCUGUGUCCGAUAUAUCAUUUUUUUCGUACAAUCCAACUAAUAUAAUAUAUGUACACUCGGAAGUGAAUUAUAGAAACUAUUCGAUCUAUCAGAUAUGUAUAUACACAAAUAGCUUUGAAGUCGUUUUCACAACAGAAUCAUAUUAUAUAUUUCUUGAAAUACAAAUAUUGUCGACAUCUAAUAAGAGUUACUUAAUAUAAUUUAAUUUCGACUGAAUUACGCGCGUAGUCAGCAGUAAGUGGGUGAAGAAGCUAACAAACGAAAGCGAAUCAGCGUGCGAAAGAACCUUUUAAGUAAUGACAUCAUGAGUAAGAUUGUGGCAACGGUAAUCAGUAUUGUGCAGCAAUAACAAAUAAGCUCGGACAACCACCAGCUCAACUAUGGUGAAGUCGAGUCAGUGACGACGUAGUCAAUAACGAAAGUCAUUGAAUACAAUUGUAUAUCUAUAUAUAUAUGUAUAUGUAUAAGUAUGUAUGUGUAUAUGUAUGUAUAUGUGUAAAUAUAUUUGAUUGAAGGCAAACGACACCAUAGUAUAAAACAUUUUGACGCUACUGUUUGGCAGUCGUUGGUAGUGAAACGUAAUCCAAGUUACGUGCGUACUCGCAGUAAUAACAAAAAUAUGGACAACAACAAGAAAAAACACAACACCAAGAAAAAACAGAUUGCAUUUAACAGCAUCAUUAGCAACAAUUGUAUACUUGUUACACACAAUAAUCGGCAAUAACGUCCUCCUAACCUCUACAUCAGUUAUUUUUUUUUUUACAAUAAAAAUGUUGGUUUAUUUUUAUUUUAUGACAAACAAUCAGUUUGCAUCAAAGUUACCAACCUAUUCUACUCUACCGCUCCCGCCACCCUUCAAUACAUGUGUGUAUGUACGCCAGCAAUUUUACCAGUUGCUGCAGCACAAUUACGUCAACGAAUACUUUAUGCUUUAACUACCAUAUUUUGAUAACUAACGGUUAACAACGACUCGGCAACUGUACGGCGGACUGGUAACGGUAAUCAUGUAGUUAGGCAGGUGAAAUUCUUCGUUGCAACUGCAGCGCAGGAUGUUGCCACUUUGUUUGGUUUCGUGUAAAAGACGGCAAAGUAGCGAUGAAGAAGAAAAUUCCAAAAAAAAAAAAAAAAGGUAAAGUCGUUGAACUAUUUGAACUCAACUAUGUAUAAUGCUGCCGACAGGCGUUGGGUGUAUCUUAUGUCCAGAUUUUCAAAAAAUGGACUAGACCCAUUGAGAUUUGUAGUUUAUAAAUUCCAAAAAUGCAGGAGUUAUCUGUGCCAAGACAUGCUUUAAAAGUGACCCUAACUAGACCUAAAUGGCUGUCGACUUGAUACCCAGGAAAGGUCACUCUAUGUCAAUGUCGAGAAUCAGGUACUACGGAGUUUCUGGCUCCAUGUCGAAAAACCAGCAGUUUGCACAAGUGACUAUACCAAUAUUGAAAAGGUGCUUUUUGAGCAUGCUAUGUCACUAGUAAUCGAAUUUGUCGCUGCAAAAGAGAACAGUUAAAAUUGAAAUGCUGAAAUGAUGCCAACAAGACAAACAGUAAAAUGCAAAUUGGUAAAUAAUAUGUAAGAGCAACUAUUAGUUAAAAAGCAAGAUUGAUAAGUGCCAACAUUUGGAUUUUUUGUUUUAAAUACUAACUUCAAUCAAUUGCGCAAGAUCUUCCGUAAUUCUAGUAUCAAAUAGUGCUUGCCUUCGUCUGUUAUCACCUAUGUAAGUAAUAUUCUAAAUAAACUGAAAAGUUGCUUAAACUUGCUUAAAUAGCUUAAAUGUAGCAUUCUUCUAUGGAAGUAGGUUGGCAGCCCUGUAACAGCUUAUAAACAGUUGCUAUAAGUUCUCCACUGUUACCGUCCAACUCAACAUCCAUCAACGAAAUUUCCUUCUUUAAUUCCUUUUAAUAAUUUAUUAUCUAAACACUGUUGAUCUGCUUCAAUAUACCGUUAACACAGGGAUGGCAUAGCAGACUCAAUAUUUUCAAACUGUAAAUAAACGCAGCAACAAUAACGUUAAUUGUCAUUGCCGCAGCAACCCUGUGUUGUUGAUUGGAAUGGGCUCAUUUUGUAAAAUGAAAAUAAAUAAAUAGAAAUAAAAAGAAAUAUUGUGUUGCGCUUUACUAUUUUUUCGUAGUUUUUUCUUUGUUUUGCCCUCACUUUGUACAUUCAUUUUAUUUUUUAUUAUGCUGUAUACGAGCCACAGCGCCGAAAAAAAAUGUUUCAAGGCGAAAUGAGCGCUGUGCGGCGCUGUGUCAUCAUCAACUACAAUAACAACAACUACAACAGCAAAACAACAGUCAACAAUGAGAAAACGGAAAAAACAAAAACAAUAGUAAUCAACAAAAAAAAAUAAUAAUAAUAACAGCAACAACAACAAUAAUAAUAGCAGCGAAUGGCAAACGAAAGCACUGCACAGCAAAGCGGCCGCAGAAGAGCUCACUUGUGCGCUUGGGAAACGGAAAACGCAAACGCCGCCAAAUGCCAAACGAGCAAUGUUGGGUUGAGUGGCUGGCUGCCCGACUGGCGCGACGGCUAAAAGUCGCCAGGUACAAGUUAGCCAGCUAAAAACGCUAAAAUUUCAUAGCAACGACCAAUGGCUCUACUGCGGCAGUCGGCAGUACGGGCGCACAACGAACGAACAACAAAUGGCAACAACCAAAUAGUGAGCCAACGAUCCAACACAACAGCAACGUCAACCGUAGCCAAAGGCACCAGCAGUUGGCAAUAAUUUUAUUUUAGCCAAACACGCCGACAUACGGACCCAGCCGCAGAUACCGAUAUAAAACAUACCGUACAACAACAAUUGUUAUAGUCAUAUGUGAGUACAAUAACAGUACAACAACAAAAGUCACACUGCAAACGCGCAGAGACAACAAAAUUCGAAAACGACAGCAGCAAUGGAAACGUCUCGGCACCGAUUGUGACGGCGAAUGCUAAAGCGCUUGAAACGACAACGACGAACAGCGAAAAAUAUCGAACGAUAUAUGCUGAUGCGAACUGUGCGAACGAACUACGUAAUAUCAAAACUUGUCUAUACGACGAUCCUGUAAAAUCGAUCCAUCUUAUUUCCGAGAGACUGCCGGAAAUGACGUCGUAAUGGCGGAGUUUUGAGCAUUUUCCUUUGAGAAAUUCACAAAACCUAUGUAAAAUAUGUAUCUUUGGAAUAAUAAAAAGUUUGAAUAAAAUAUUAAA